rnacentral:tRNA from 1 species
CCGGUCGCGGUCAGGACGGUGGCGCCGUCCUCGCCGGGGGCGGUGGCGAAGCUGAGUGCGGUGCUCAUCGCGGGAUCCUCGCUUGCAGGCCGAC